rnacentral:rRNA from 1 species
CCUACGGGGGGCUGCAGUGGGGAAUAUUGGACAAUGGGCGAAAGCCUGAUCCAGCCAUGCCGCGUGUGUGAAGAAGGCCUUCGGGUUGUAAAGCACUUUCAGUGGGGAAGAAAGCCUUGGGGCUAAUACCCUCGAGGAAGGACAUCACCCACAGAAGAAGCACCGGCUAACUCCGUGCCAGCAGCCGCGGUAAUACGGAGGGUGCGAGCGUUAAUCGGAAUUACUGGGCGUAAAGCGCGCGUAGGCGGUCUGAUAAGCCGGUUGUGAAAGCCCCGGGCUCAACCUGGGAACGGCAUCCGGAACUGUCAGGCUAGAGUGCAGCAGAGGAAGGUAGAAUUCCCGGUGUAGCGGUGAAAUGCGUAGAGAUCGGGAGGAAUACCAGUGGCGAAGGCGGCCUUCUGGACUGACACUGACGCUGAGGUGCGAAAGCGUGGGUAGCAAACAGGAUUAGAUACCCCAGUAGUC